ensembl:snRNA U6 U6 spliceosomal RNA
GUGCUCGCUUUGGCAGCACAUAGAUUAAAACUGGAGCAAUACAGAGAAGAUCAGCAUGGCCUUUGCACAAGACUGACACACAAAUUUUUGAAGCAUUCCAUAUUUUU